rnacentral:ncRNA from 1 species
UAUCAGUUUAUGAAGAGUCUAGUAGCAAUGUUUUAUAUUAUAGAGAGUCAGUGGGCGGUGCAAACUGAUAUAUAGAUAUUUGUGAAUCCAACUCGGAGACAAUGCGAUGAGCAAUCGGUUAAUUACCGUUAAAGAUUAUUAAGAGGACUAUAUAUAUGUAGUCAAUUAGGGUGGCAACGCGGAGCUCCGUCCCUUUC